rnacentral:rRNA from 1 species
GAUUAACGCUGGCGGUAUGCCUAAUACAUGCAAGUCGAACGAAAAUCUUCGGAUUUUAGUGGCGAACGGGUGAGUAAUGUAUGUUUAAUCUACCUUGUAGUUUGGAAUAACCAUUGGAAACGAUGGCUAAUACUGAAUACUAUUUAUAAUGGAAUCUUUAUAAAUUAAAAGGGGCGUUUGCCCCGCUAUAAGAUGAGAACAUAUUACAUUAGCUAGUUGGUAGGGUAAAGGCCUACCAAGGCAAUGAUGUAUAGCCGAGCCGAGAGGUUGAUCGGCCACAAUGGGACUGAGACACGGCCCAUACUCCUACGGGAGGCAGCAGUAGGGAAUUUUUCACAAUGGACGAAAGUCUGAUGAAGCAAUACCGCGUGAGGGAAGACGGUUUUAGGACUGUAAACCUCUGUUAUAAGGGAAGAAUAUGUCGGAGAGGAAAUGCUCCGUGCAGUGACGGUACUUUAUUAGAAAGUCACGGCUAACUAUGUGCCAGCAGCCGCGGUAAUACAUAGGUGGCAAGCGUUAUCCGGAUUUAUUGGGCGUAAAGAGUGCACAGGUGGUUAUAUAAGUUUGAUGUUAAAGACCGAAGCUCAACUUCGGUUCGCAUUGAAAACUGUAUAACUAGAAUGCAGGUGGGAAUAGUGGAAUUCGAUGUGUAGCGGU